GGCUUGCAUUGAUAAGGGAGAUAAUGUUUCUCCAUCAGUUUUUAUCGAAGUACCAGAUAAAAUGUCCAAUUCAAACAUGGGAGAUGCAUGCAAGGACAAUAUUAGGAAUCAUAAGGCUUCAUGCAGCAAGGAAAAUGCUAAGAAUAUCACCUUCUGUCCCAACGAAAUUCUUAAUAUUUUCCUUAAGACUAUGAACAUUGUCGGUCCUGUGGUCUCCGAUUCAAUACGUGACUGAUAUAUUUAGCUCAUAAUAUAACAGGAUAUGAGACAACUGGCAGCAAGUUCAAUUGUCUCUUGAGAGAGGCCUUCCUGCCAUGAUUGGCAACUUCGUUGUAAGACAGCUUCCGUAUCCAUCAUUAUCAUUUGACAUGAUUCAAUGUGCUCACUGUGAUAUCAUUUAGGAUGAAAAAGAUGGAAUGUUCCUCAUAGAAGUUGCAAACUAUUCUUAAAAGGCUUGAACUAUCAGUGACUGGGGUUCUUUGUUUCCGUACCGUACAUCAGGUAAACUGUAAACUGCACUGUCGGUAUGUUUCAUUCAUGGC